AAUGAACGCUGGCGGCGUGCUUAACACAUGCAAGUCGAACGAUGAUUAAGAGCUUGCUCUUAUGAUUAGUGGCGCACGGGUGAGUAAUAUAUAGGUUACGUGCCUCUUAGUCUGGGAUAGCCACUGGAAACGGUGAUUAAUACUGGAUAUUCCUGUUCGCAGGGAAAGGUUUUUCGCUAAGAGAUCGGCCUAUACUGUAUCAGCUUGUUGGUGAGGUAAGAGCUCACCAAGGCUAUGACACAUAGCGGGUUUGAGAGGAUGAUCCGCCACACUGGUACUGAGACACGGACCAGACUCCUACGGGAGGCAGCAGUGAGGAAUAUUGCACAAUGGGGGAAACCCUGAUGCAGCAACGCCGCGUGGAGGAUGACGCAUUUCGGUGUGUAAACUCCUUUUAUCAGAGAAGAACAUGACGGUAUCUGAUGAAUAAGCUCCGGCUAACUCCGUGCCAGCAGCCGCGGUAAUACGGAGGGAGCAAGCGUUAUUCGGAAUCACUGGGCGUAAAGGACGCGUAGGCGGGUUUUUAAGUCAGAUGUGAAAUCCUAUGGCUCAACCAUAGAACUGCAUUUGAAACUGGGAACCUCUAGAGUAUGGAAGGGGAAGAUGGAAUUAGUGGUGUAGGGGUAAAAUCCGUAGAUAUCACUAGGAAUACCGAAAGCGAAGGCGAUCUUCUGGGACAUAACUGACGCUGAGGCGUGAAAGCGUGGGGAGCAAACAGGACUUAGAUACCCUGGUAGUCCACGCCCUAAACGAUGAGUGCUAGUCGUCGGAGAGCUCGUCUNNUUCGGUGAUGC
rnacentral:rRNA from 1 species